rnacentral:rRNA from 1 species
UACGUAGGGUGCAAGCGUUGUCCGGAAUUACUGGGCGUAAAGAGCUCGUAGGCGGUUUGUCGCGUCUGCUGUGAAAAUCCAGGGCUUAACCCUGGACCUGCAGUGGGUACGGGCAGACUAGAGUGCGGUAGGGGAGAUCGGAAUUCCUGGUGUAGCGGUGAAAUGCGCAGAUAUCAGGAGGAACACCGGUGGCGAAGGCGGAUCUCUGGGCCGUAACUGACGCUGAGGAGCGAAAGCAUGGGGAGCGAACAGG